rnacentral:rRNA from 1 species
AGUGAACGCUGGCGGCAGGCCUAACACAUGCAAGUCGAACGAGUGGCGGACGUGUGAGGAAUACAUCGGAAUCUCCUCUGUCGUGGGGGAUAACGUUGGGAACCUUACGCUCAUCCCGCAUACCAUUGCAUGAGCCGAUGUCGGAUUAGCUAGUUGGCGGGGUAAAGGCCCACAAAGGCGACGAUCCCUAGCUGGUCUGAGAGGAUGAUCGGCAACACUGGAACUGAGACACGGUCCAGACGCCUACGGGAGGCAGCAGUGGGGAAUAUUGGGCAAUGGGCGCAAGCCGGACCCAGCCAUGCCGCGUGGGUGAAGAAGGCCUUCGGGUUGUAAAGCCCUUUUGGUGGGGAAGCGGUACCCAAAGAAUAAGCACCGGCUAACUACGUGCCAGCAGCCGCGGUAAUAC